rnacentral:tRNA from 1 species
AAAUGGCUCAGUGGUAAAGAAUCUGCCUGCAAAGCAAGAGACCCAGGUUUGAUCCCUGGUUU